CUCCGAAAUAUUUUCUAUUCAGCAGCUUGUACGGCGAGUGAGCGGCAAAGCUCAAAUUUGAAUCUAGCACUUUCAGUGUUCGAGUUGUAAUUUGAAGAAGGUAACUUUGGAAUUGGCUCUUGUCUAUGUUCCUUGGAACAGGACGUCACAGAGGGUGAGAAUCCCGUGCGAUGAGAUGUCCAAUUCUAUGUAAAGUGCUUUCGAAGAGUCGAGUUGUUUGGGAAUGCAGCUCUAAGUGGGUGGUAAAUUCCAUCUAAAGCUAAAUAUUGGCGAGAGACCGAUAGCGAACAAGUACAGUGAUGGAAAGAUGAAAAGAACUUUGAAAAGAGAGUGAAAAAGUACGUGAAAUUGUUGAAAGGGAAGGGCUUGAGAUCAGACUUGGUAUUUUGUGUUCCUUAUCCUUCUUGGAUUAGGUUCCUCACAGCUUACCGGGCCAGCAUCGGUUUGGAUGGCAGGAUAAUGACAUUGGAAUGUAGCUUUGCUUCGGUGAAGUGUUAUAGACUUUGUUGAUACUGCCUAUCUAGACCGAGGACUGCGUCUUUGACUAGGAUGCUGGCGUAAUGAUCUUAAGCCGCCCGUCUUGAAACACGGACCAAAA
rnacentral:rRNA from 1 species